rnacentral:rRNA from 1 species
GACAGAGGGUGCAAACGUUGCUCGGAAUUACUGGGCGUAAAGGGCUCGUAGGCGGCCAACUAAGUCGGACGUGAAAUCCCUCAGCUUAACUGGGGAACUGCGUCCGAUACUGGAUGGCUUGGAUUUGGGAGAGGGAUGCGGAAUUCCAGGUGUAGCGGUGAAAUGCGUAGAUAUCUGGAGGAACACCGGUGGCGAAGGCGGCAUCCUGGACCAAUAUUGACGCUGAGGAGCGAAAGCCAGGGGAGCAAACGGG